GUGAACGCUGGCGGUAGGCCUAACACAUGCAAGUCGAACGGCAGCACAGUAAGAGCUUGCUCUUACGGGUGGCGAGUGGCGGACGGGUGAGGAAUACAUCGGAAUCUACUUUUUCGUGGGGGAUAACGUAGGGAAACUUACGCUAAUACCGCAUACGACCUACGGGUGAAAGCAGGGGAUCUUCGGACCUUGCGUGAUUGAAUGAGCCGAUGUCGGAUUAGCUAGUUGGCGGGGUAAAGGCCCACCAAGGCGACGAUCCGUAGCUGGUCUGAGAGGAUGAUCAGCCACACUGGAACUGAGACACGGUCCAGACUCCUACGGGAGGCAGCAGUGGGGAAUAUUGGACAAUGGGCGCAAGCCUGAUCCAGCCAUACCGCGUGGGUGAAGAAGGCCUUCGGGUUGUAAAGCCCUUUUGUUGGGAAAGAAAAGCAGCAGGUUAAUACCCCGCUGUUCUGACGGUACCCAAAGAAUAAGCACCGGCUAACUUCGUG
rnacentral:rRNA from 1 species